rnacentral:misc_RNA from 1 species
AGCAGCCGCGGUAAUUCCAGCUCCAAUAGCGUAUAUUAAAGUUGUUGCAGUUAAAAGCUCGUAGUUGAAUUUCGAGAUCAAAUUGUUGGUCGUGCCUUGGUACGCACUGGCAUUAUUGGUUUCUCCCUUCUGACGAACCAUGAUGUCAUUAAUUUGGUGUCUUGGGGAAUCAGGACUGUUACUUUGAAAAAUUGAGUGUUUAAAGCAGGCUCACGCUUGAAUACAUUAGCAUGGAAUAAUGAAAUAGGACGUUUGAUUCUAUUUUGUUGGUUUCUAGGAUCGACGUAAUGAUUAAUAGGGAUAGUUGGGGGCAUUAGUAUUCAAUUGUCAGAGGUGAAAUUCUUGGAUUUAUUGAAGACUAACUACUGCGAAAGCAUUUGCCAAGGAUGUUUUCAUUAAUCAAGAACGAAAGUUAGGGAUCGAAGACGAUCAGAUACCGUCGUAGUCUUAACCAUAAACUAUGCCGACUAGGGAUCGGAUGAUGUUAAUUUUUUAAUGUACUUCAUUACC